rnacentral:rRNA from 1 species
UACGUAGGCAGCGAGCGUUGUUCGGAAUUACUGGGCGUAAAGAGUGUGUAGGCGGUGCUCUAAGUUCGGUGUGAAAUCUCCUGGCUCAACUGGGAGGGUGCGCCGGAAACUGGAGUGCUUGAGCGUGGGAGAGGAAAGCGGAAUUCCUGGUGUAGCGGUGAAAUGCGCAGAUAUCAGGAGGAACACCAGUGGCGAAGGCGGUGCUCUGGGCCGGUACUGACGCUGAGGAGCGAAAGCGUGGGUAGCAAACAGG